CGUCCAUUUCAUGUUUACUCGUCAAGCAAGUUGUCGUCGCCUUGCUUUUCUCUGAGGAUUAAAACUAGAAACUUUGGUUUUUUCUGGACUUCCGCACUUUUGUGACAUUUAAUGAUGAACUUGCUUUGCUUCUUCCUCCUAGUUGUACAAACACACAGCGUGACGCCUGUGAUUCACACGCUGCAGUAUUUCACCACCGCAUGCUCUCAAGUUCCAAACUUCCCAGAGUAUGUGAGUGUUGGUUAUGUUGAUGAAGUUGAGGUGAGUUACUAUGACAGCAACAUCAGGAAAGCAGAAUCCAAACAGGACUGGAUGAACAAAAUCACAGCAGAGGAUCCAAACUACUGGCAGAGACAAACAGAGAACAAUGUUGUUAGAGAACAUGUCUUCAAAGACAACAUUGAAAUAGCCAUGAAGCGUUUCAACCAAACUGGAGGUGUUCACACUUACCAGGAGAUGACAGGAUGUGAAUGGAAUGAUGAGACUGAUGAAGUUAAAGGUUGGAAGCAGUACAGUUAUGAUGGAGAAGAUUUCAUAUCGUUGGACAUGAAGACAUGGACAUGGACUGCAGCAAAACAACAAGCUUUCCCCUCCAAACUCAAGUGGGACCAGGACACACUUCAUCUAGACCACAAGAAGUAUUAUUACACUGAGAUAUGUCCUUCUUACUUGAAGAAGUAUGUGGAGUAUGGGAAGAAGGUCCUAAUGAGAACAGAGCUUCCAAAGGUGUUCCUCCUCCAGAAGACGCCAUCCUCUCCGGUCACCUGCAUGGCGACAGGUUUCUACCCCGACCGAGCCGACUUGUUUUGGAGGAAAGACGGCGAGCAGAUCUUCGAGGACGUGGAGCACGGAGAGCUGCUCCCCAACCACGACGGAACCUUCCAGUUGUCGGUGGAGCUGAAAGUGGAGGUGACGGCCGAGGUGGAGGGCAAGUACGAAUGUGUGUUCCAGCUGUCUGGCGUGAAGGAGGACCUGGUCACCAAGCUGGAGAGAAGAAGCAUCCUGAGCAACGCAAGCCCUGAAGGCAACGUGAGCGUCACUGCCACGCUGGCGGUCCUCGCUGUGGUGCUCCUCCUGGCGGCCCCCAUCAUCAUCAUCUUCAUCAUCAAGCGUCGCCCAAGCAGACAAGCCCAAUACCAUCCAGCUGGUAAGUAAAACAUCAUCUCUUUCUUGGAAACCAGAACAAUAAACAAAGCACACUUUCUGGUGACGGUGGUAACCAGCUCUCAGAGAGACGUGAAGGCUGAAGGCUGAAGGCUGAGUGACACACGGCACAGAUGCUUUGUGCACUGGAACACAGAGAGAUGUCUCCAUCGCUGAGGGACCUCAUCACACUUGGACUUUUCUUUCACAUCUGCACUAUUUGCUCCUCAUCUUACACCAUGUCUUCUUUGGCUGUUUAUGGCUGACAAAACACCUUCAAUCUGCAUUUGUCAACAAUACUUUGUCAGAUGUUGAUCUUUGUGUCCAUGUAGUUGUGAUGUCAUCAUUUGGGGCUCAUGUGUCAUCACAUUGACAAGGAUUUCUUCUUUCCUUUUCAAACCAAUAGACAGCUGCUUAUCAGUGAAUAUCACCUUGUGUCACAUCUCAUCAUUAUUUUUAACAAUAUUUUGGAACAAUAGUACCAUUUUUAACUACUUCCGUAUGCUAAUAUUAAUUGUUUUUGAUGUAACAUUUAAGAAUGUUGAUUAUGAGAACUGCUGUCCAGUUGUUAUAUCUUCUUUUCUGAUGACAUUAGUCUCAUUUGCAAUGCAGUUGCACUUCCAAGACCAUUAGAUGGCAGCACUGUAUAACUGUUUAUGCUAUGUUGUCAAACUAGAAAGUAGCUUUUUUUUCCAGGAAAUUAACUUUUUAGGUUGCGCCCUACAAAGUGUCAAUACUGUAAGAAUAGUUAUUACACAAAAUUGUAAAAUUCGAACUAUAAUCUUAGUAGUUUCCUUUACCAAAUUCCAAGGUGUUGAAAUCGCCAUGUAAAAUCCUUCAUGUAAAUAGUAGCCUGUCUUUGGCAAAUCCUAUGUAAAUUAGCAAUAAGCUAGCGCAUUUUGGAAGAGUGUCGCAUUACUUUAUGUUUGCGCUGUUUUUUUAUUAAGCACUGUGUUGGUGUUGAAAAUGGCAAGGUGACUUAGAGGGAGUUUGGCUGAGUCCGGCCUGAGUGCUGCUUGAGUGAUUGUUUACCUGAGCCCGUGUUUAGUCUGAAAGCAGACAUGACGUCACAUGCAACAAAGGUAUCCAACUUGAUUUUACAUAAUUGAUAGUACUGAGGGAAUUGGGUCAUCACCUACACAAGUACUGAAUUGGGUAGCCAACCUUACCAGUUAGUGUGACGGAGGGGGACAGUGACACAAAAUUUUUAUGACAAAGCAUUGUCAAAUAUUUAUAUUUUUGAAACAAUUUGCUGUUUUUUCCGUUCCUUUUUGCAUAAUCAUAUUUUUUCUUGAUUGCCAAACAUGCCGAGGAUGUCAUUUGGGAAGUAAACAAGGUAGGCCGUUCAUAUACUCUUGAUAUUCAGUGUUUUAUGUGUACAAUGUUUCAUGUACAUUCUGGGGGUUUUAUUCAGUCAAAACUUGUCAAAUACAAUUUCUGUUUUGGAGGUGGUUUGUCAUUACACACAUGAUAACACUUCUUGCUUGCAGUCAUGCAAAACAAGUAUUAAAUGAUCUUAAGCCUUUACCAUGUCCGAAAAGUGACAAUUUGAAAUAUUUUGUCAAUUGUCAACAGAAAGAAUGAAUGACAGAGCUCUUUAUUAAAACACAAUUUUUAAUGGAAAUGACUGCAAAUUUAAGAGAGUAAAAUAACGUAAUUCACCUGUUCUUCUGUUGAUGCUAGUAGUGGAAUGGUAUACACAUCUGCUGUGUGUGACAGUGGGUGUGGGUACGAUUCCAGGUCAGGAUGGGAAGGUAAACAUUGAUCUGAAUCAUCAUGAUUGUUGUGCUGUGGCGACCUCUCAUGGGAAAAAAUGAAAGACAUUUACUGAUUUAAUUCUAUUAAUUGUAUUAUUUUGCACUCAUACAUUAAUUAUUUGGUCAUGUUUUUAUUACAAUGUGAUCUUAUUACUCCGAGACGUGUGUAAUUAAAUACAGGUUUCAGUCAAAUAGUAAAACAUGUUUUUCACAAUGUCAGGUUCAAACAUCGAUGACAUUUAUUAAACAAGACAAGAAGCAAGGAAAUAAAUAGAGACGGAAUUCAAUUUUGCUCGGUUUGAGGAGAAACAUGUCGACCUGUAACCUCUUACAGUGUCACCCACGCGCUCACGGAAAAAUGUUCACGUCUCCUCUUUUAUUUGGAUAUUCCCUGUUUACAUAACAGCAGCUGUUUCUAAAGGAAUGGGGGUAUGUAAACAGCCAUUGUUUUCGGUCACAUUAACACAAAAGAAAAAGAUACCUCAGGCUUGUACUGGUCCUGGAUCGAGCUUGGGCAAGUCUUGGAUCACAAUAGCUAACCCUUCCCGUCUCUUCCCAUCGUACACAGUGGUAUUUUCCAAGCCUUUGGAUUAUUGCAACAAAGACAGCUUCCGUCUGUUCACUGGGAACUCAGAGAACGGAAAGUUUUUUUGAUAAUUUACAUACAAUAUUUCUGACACACAUAAAUAAAGAAGGCAAAAACAAGCAAACAAACAGAAAAAUCACCAUGCCAGUAGAGAUGAAGACAAUCUGCCAACAAAAUGUCUCCUACUUAUUUUUUCAGAGAGUUGUCAAGCCUGCGUGUGAUGAUGUGGCCUGCCAGUUAAAAAGUUUGCCCAAGUUAUUCUAGUCACGUAUGCACAGAUGAGAUGUGUCAGUAACAAAAUAUUACUUUGCAUCACUUUUUGGCAACCAACAAUUCAUUGAUUGAAUUAAUACAUCCAAACACUUUAUUGAUAUGUAUGAUGUGCAUGAACAAAGAACAGUUGAUGUUGUAUGUAGCUUAUAAACAAGGAAGAGCUUUGUAACACAUCAACAUCAACAAGUCCUUUAAAAUCUCAUUAAUGUCACAGAAUUGGACAAAUCUUUGACUUUUCCAACCUAGCAAAGGCUUUAGAUCAUGCUACUUUUGUUGAACAAAUGUUUUGCAGGUACAAUAGUCUAGAUAAACCUGCUUUCAAAUCAACUUUAAAGAUACCUUAUCUUUUAUACUUUAUGUUUGAGUGGACUAAAUGUACUGUCAUUUUAGCUGACUAAAAUGUUGUGUGAUGUGGUUGACUUAAACUAAAUCGAUUUAGAUUUAGCAGAGAGAAACUAUUGUUAGUCACCUUGAGACUCUCACUGAAACCUAAUAACCAGGUGAUAAAUCUGGAGGUAAUAAUGGACUCAGACUUGAACUUUAACAGCCGCAUGAAGUCGAUAACAUCAGCAGCUUUUACCACCUGAAACACUUUGUCAACAUCAGAGGAAUAAUGUCUGAAUCAGACUUGGAGAGACUAAGUCUUUGUCUCCAGCAGUUUGGACUACUGUAAUGCUCUUUUCACUUGGCUCUUUAAACCAGCUGUAAAGCAACUGCAGUACACCCAGAAUGCUGCUGCUCAAGUCCUGACUAGAACUAGGAAAUAUGAUCAUAUCAGUCCAUAUCAGUCCUGGCUUCGUGUAGCUACUCAGCUUUCCUCGUGUACAAGUCCUUUCAUGGUCUUGUGCCAAAGUACAUCUCUGACAUGUUAGCUCUGAGAACCUUGUUUUAUGAGGAUUAUUCUUCUUUUAUUUUGAAGUAUUUUCCAUGGUUACUUCCAUUUUAUUGUUGCCUUCUUGUCAUUUUCUGUACAGCACUUUGAAUUGUGCUCUAUAAAUAAACUGGCCUUCCCUAAUUGUUUUCAGAAUAAAACACUUAUUUCCA